rnacentral:rRNA from 1 species
GNUCUGUACGGACAGAAGGGAGCUUGCUCCCGGAUGUUAGCGGCGGACGGGUGAGUAACACGUGGGUAACCUGCCUGUAAGACUGGGAUAACUCCGGGAAACCGGAGCUAAUACCGGAUAGUUCCUUGAACCGCAUGGUUCAAGGAUGAAAGACGGUUUCGGCUGUCACUUACAGAUGGACCCGCGGCGCAUUAGCUAGUUGGUGAGGUAACGGCUCACCAAGGCGACGAUGCGUAGCCGACCUGAGAGGGUGAUCGGCCACACUGGGACUGAGACANGGCCCAGACUCCUACGGGAGGCAGCAGUAGGGAAUCUUCCGCAAUGGACGAAAGUCUGACGGAGCAACGCCGCGUGAGUGAUGAAGGUUUUCGGAUCGUAAAGCUCUGUUGUUAGGGAAGAACAAGUGCAAGAGUAACUGCUUGCACCUUGACGGUACCUAACCAGAAAGCCACGGGCUAACUACGUGCCAGCAGCCGCGGUAAUACGUAGGUGGCAAGCGUUGUCCGGAAUUAUUGGGCGUAAAGGGCUCGCAGGCGGUUUCUUAAGUCUGAUGUGAAAGCCCCCGGCUCAACCGGGGGCAGGGGUCAUUGGACAACUGGGAAACUUGAGUUGCCGACGAGGAGAGUGGACAUUCCCACGUGUAGCGGUUGAAAUGCGUAGNAGAUGUGGGAGGGAACCACCGUGGCCGAAGCGACUCUCUGGUCUGUAACUGACGCUUAGGAGCGAAAGCGUGGGGAGCGAACAGGAUUGAUCCCU